CUUCAGUUGUCUCCUUAUCUAACUGGAAGGAAAUUGGGCUGAGUGAUUUACCCAUUCAUACAGCUGACUUUUGAGAAUGAACCAGAGGAUGACAAUGUCAACUAAAGGUCUGAUCCAAUGCCAUUCAGUUUUCUGAUAAAAUGGUUCUCCAAAAUGGGCUUGGAUUUAACUCUCCAUAUCUACCUCUUGCCUCCUGUAUUUUGGAAGGUUUGAAAACCACUGCCAGGCUCUACCGUGAGAAAGAAUAUAAUUCUUGCUGCCUUAGUUUACCCAGUUCUGUUUGUCAAGUGCUUCACAGAGGAGUUGCAAGGCCAAUGCAGUUCAGUGUUUGGGAAGAUCAUCAGAGAUCCCUGAUGAAAGGUGCUGUACAACUUACAACAAUUAUUGUAUUUUUCCUCACAGAUUUAUCAAAAUUAUUUUAAAAGCUUCAUUCCUUCUGUUUGGUAGAAAUAAAUCAUUCACAACUGGCAACAGCUUUACAUGAUAUCUUGCUACCUUACCAUUUUGUGUGAAAAUGGUUUUUGUUUCUGUGCAUGGCCCCACCCCCCAUCAUAUUCACUUAAUAUGUUCCAUUCUAAACUUUGCA